CUGAAAGGAGAACUGCAGUCUCUCUCAUCACUGUUGUCAAAGAGUGGUCAGGUUGCAGGUGGCAUCCCAGAAGGAUGAAUUAUGCUGUUGACAGAGCUGAGCUACUGAAAGGACCACGGCUGAACAUUGGAGGAGUCUUGCAGUCCUUGGCACCCCCGGUAAGUGCGUUACAGGUUCAAAGAUCUGUCCAGAUGCACCAAGCUGGAAGGAAUAAUUAG
rnacentral:lncRNA from 1 species